AAUAUUGCACAAUGGGCGGAAGCCUGAUGCAGCAACGCCGCGUGCGGGAUGACGGCCUUCGGGUUGUAAACCGCUUUCGCCUGUGACGAAGCGUGAGUGACGGUAAUGGGUAAAGAAGCACCGGCUAACUACGUGCCAGCAGCCGCGGUGAUACGUAGGGUGCGAGCGUUGUCCGGAUUUAUUGGGCGUAAAGGGCUCGUAGGUGGUUGAUCGCGUCGGAAGUGUAAUCUUGGGGCUUAACCCUGAGCGUGCUUUCGAUACGGGUUGACUUGAGGAAGGUAGGGGAGAAUGGAAUUCCUGGUGGAGCGGUGGAAUGCGCAGAUAUCAGGAGGAACACCAGUGGCGAAGGCGGUUCUCUGGGCCUUUCCUGACGCUGAGGAGCGAAAGCGUGGGGAGCGAACAGGCUUAGAUACCCUGGUAGUCCACGCUGUA
rnacentral:rRNA from 1 species